AGAGGCUUUCUUUUUAAGUGAAACGUUAUAGUAAACCGAACAUUGCUUAGAACGUGGCAUUUUAGAACGUAAACACAAUGGGUUUCAGAUCCAUAUUGCCUUAAUCCAACCCACAGGAGUUCUCUCAUCAUGAGUGGAGCCUACUACAUCAUCCGUGCUGCUCUUUUUGUGUUAGAAAUGCCAGAAACCAAGGCUCUGCUAGAAAACUCUAAUGACUGUUGUGAAAGAAUAAAGAGAAUGAGUGAAACCUGUGCAAACAUCACACUCUGUGAUACUGGGACUCAUCAUGAGAACAGUACUAAUUUUUGUGUGUCCUGUGACUGACCAGAGCAGGGGAAUUCAACACUUAACAACACUAGGACCAGUCACACUCCAGUACCUGC